rnacentral:rRNA from 1 species
GAUGAACGCUAGCGGCAGGCCUAAUACAUGCAAGUCGAACGGAUAUAUGUUUUUCGGAAUAUAUAUUAGUGGCGCACGGGUGAGUAACACGUACAUAACUUGCCCUCAAGCGGGGGAUAGCCUUGGGAAACUGAGAGUAAUACCCCAUAGAAUUAUUGGACGGCAUCGUUUGAUAAUUAAAACUACGGUGUUUGGGGAUAGAUGUGCGUCUGAUUAGCUAGUUGGUGAGGUAACUGCUCACCAAGGCGACGAUCAGUAGGGGGCGUGAGAGCGUGGCCCCCCACACGGGUACGUGAGACACGGACCCGACUCCUACGGGAGGCAGCAGUAAGGAAUAUUGGUCAAUGGAGGGAACUCUGAACCAGCCAUGCCGCGUGAAGGAUGACGGCCC